CUCAAUGAUAUUUAAAUAGCCGCAAUUUUUGUGCAAAGGUAGCAUAAUCAUUUGUCUUUUAAUUAAAGACUAGAACGAAAGAUUUAAUAUUCUAAUCUCUAUAUUAAAUAUCACAUUAUAAUUUAUCUUAAAUAUAAAAAGAUAUUUAUUAAUAAAAAAGACGACAAGACCCUAUUGAACUUAACUAAAGUUUAACUGGGGCAGUUAAAUAAAUAAGAUUUUAAUUUAAACCUUAACAAAACCUAAUAUAAUUAAAUACAAUCAAGUUACCAUAGGGAUAACAGCGUAACAAUCUUCCAAAGCUCUUAUUUAAAAAAUUAUUUACGACCUCGAUGUUGAAUUAAUAAUCUAUUAAAUGCAAUAAUUUAAUAAGAAAGUCUGUUCGACUU
rnacentral:rRNA from 1 species